AUGUGUGCUCUUCCGAGCCGCACCCGGGAAACCCAAGUCUUUGGGUUCCGGGGGGAGUAUGGUUGCAAAGCUGAAACUUAAAGGAAUUGACGGAAGGGCACCACCAGGAGUGGAGCCUGCAGCUUAAUUUGACUCAACACAGGAAACCUCACCCGGCCCGGACACGGACAGGAUUGACAGAUUGAGAGCUCUUUCUCGAUUCCGUGGGUGGUGGUGCAUGGUCGUUCUUACUUGGUGGAGAGAUUUGUCUGGUUAAUUCCGAUAA